CUCAUUGGCCACUCGACCGCACGUCAACGUCGCCGCCAUAUUGGAGCGGGCAACUCUCAUAACUCUCACAUCAGGACAGAAGAAAACGUACCUGACUCAUCGACAGAUUGGACACCUACACACCGUCACACGAUAAAGCAGAUCUCGGUGUGUUAUCUUUCACAGUCAUUUGCAAACAGGACAAGGACAGCCUUAAGGAAAGCUGAGGAAAGCUGUUCUCAGAGACAAGAGUAUACCUCCCUAGACUAAUGUUGUGUUUGUACUAAACCCAGAGCAGCCCUGAAUGAAUCUACAGAAUGACCCAGCUCAUAUUCUAAAGCGAUUAAUCGUUUGAAAGCAUUAAUUUAUACCAGAAAACAAGACAGAAAUACUAAGGAAGAACAUCUCUGCAUUAAUCACUUAAUCAUUUGAUUCUGAUUCAUUCAGAAAUUUCUAAUAAUGUUGAUACAAAUGCUAAUACUGCACUCAUGUUUAUAAUAAAAGAUGACUAAUCAUUCAUAAAACUUUUAAACCCAGCAAAGAAAUAAUGGAUGUUGCAUUAAGUAAUUAAUUUCUCAUUAAAUACAGUCAAGUAUAUUCCAGAUUUCUUCAUACUUGAUAUAAAAUUUGAUUAAUUGGCGUAUAUAUUCAGAUUUGAGAGGUUAAAGGGCAGAGAGCAUGAUCACUAUACAGCGGAUUCCUCACUGUUUCCUCACAUCAGCAAUAGUCUGGGGAAGAAAAAAUUAUUAGACUCUGUAUUCCAGUGCUAAUAUAUGAACAUCAUGAAACCAAGACAUUUGCAGGAGAUGCAUAAUGACCUCAGAUAUAUAUGUUUAUUAUCUACUCAAUAUAUUCAUUUUUAGAUUUUUAUUGGUUAAUUCUUAAAAUGGAAAAAAAUUCUGCCAAAGGUGAAAACUAUUGUUUUUCUUAGCCGCUGACAGAUAUUUGUUCUUGUUUUAAACAUGAACUCAUUUAUAUUUUAGUAAAUGGUUCUCGAUUUAAGGAUGUUCAGAUAUUUGAGCUGGAAAACAAGAGGAAGAGCAUCAUUCUCUGUGGUGAAGAAAGAACACCAUGACCUUCAUCAAAUUAAAAUCUCUCGUGUUUGUGUCCGAGUCGAACGGUGACAGGUAGAAGAAAAGAGUAAAAAAUAAACCUUGGACAAUCUUCCUAAAACAUACGUCUGCAGGAGCCUCGAUGAUUAUAAAUAUGCUUUAUGUUUAUCACAGUAUUAUUUCAUCAAGCCUUGUGCUCAUCUCCAUAUUUAUACUGAAAAUAAAAGUAGCUGUGAUCUUAUUCUAGUUAGCGGCUCUGAAAUCGAGUGACAGCUGAUUGGUUGAUUCACAAAUGUCUUCACAGACAAAAAGUGCUUCAUAUUCAAACACAGUUUAGAUUAACACUCAUAUAACUUUACUGUCUGUGUGAGAGGAAUCAAACAAUCAGAUCCUGCGAUCGUUUACUCUUCCUUAGCCUGAACAAGUGUUUUUUUCUUCUGCUGAACACUAAAGAAGAUGUUUUUUUGAGUGCGUACUGGUUGACGGCACCCAUUGACUUCUAUAAUAGAGGAAGAAAUACUAUGGGCUAAGUGAAUGGGUACCAUCAACCGUUUGGUGUUUAAAGCAUCAUCUUUUUAGCAUUCAGCAAAAGACAGAAACUCAUACAAAAAUAUAUAAUUUUUACAUUUUAUUUAAAAAAAUAUGUAAAAUAAGCACACACAGUUAAACUUUUAUUCCUAACUAGUAAUUCCCAAAGCAACCAACUAUGUGUCAUUGUUGUUAACUGAGACUGAAACUACUAAAAACAGUUUUCUGUAAUUGAAAUAAAGCUAAAGUAAAUCGUAUAAGCCACUAAUAAAUAUUGUAGAAACUUAAUUUUCUGUAAAGUUGCUUUGCAAUGAUUUGUAAAGUAAAAAGCGCUAUAAAUUAAAUGAAAACAGUACUAAAAUUAAAAGUAGUAACUUUUUACAAAAAAGUUGAAAUGCUAAAAUUAUUAAAACUGACAUAAACAUAAAGGCUAAAAAAAUAAUAAUAAAACUAAUUCCUAAACCUCAAACUGCAACCAUGAGGCUAAAAGCUAUGCUAUGUGUCACUCUCAGUAAGUGCUGUAACAGUUUAUAAAGACCUUGAUGUUGUUUGGACGCCAGAACCGUGUGUGUGUGUUUGUGUUUACCUGGAUGUUCCCGUGAUUGGCUCCUGGGAUGAUCUGAAUCCUCUCAAAGUCCCUCCCCAGGAUGAUGAUGUCACAGUCAGAGUAGUACGCCUGUCCCACGAGCCCCGGACAAAACAACACACACAGUCUGACACUGAUAAUCAAAGAGAGUUCUACAUAUCAUCUGAAUGUAAUGUUUUGCUACAUUUUUAUUUUUUUUAAUCGAGGAAUCAAAGUUUUAAGUUUUUUCAUUUACGGUUAAUAAUCUAUGCUGCUGCUGUUUUCUUAUCAUAUCAGACAAUAUCUGCCUUCAUUUUGCAUGCAUCUUGUUUACUCUCGCUUAUAAACUUUUUGUUGCUCCUUUUGUUGUGUUGUUUGUUUUUUAUCCUCAUUUGUAAGUCGCUUUGGAUAAAAGUGUCUGCUAAAUGAAUAAAUGUAAAUGUAAACUUAUCAAA